rnacentral:rRNA from 1 species
GACGAACGCUGGCGGCGUGCUUAACACAUGCAAGUCGAACGAAGAGCGAUGGAAGCUUGCUUCUAUCAAUCUUAGUGGCGAACGGGUGAGUAACGCGUAAUCAACCUGCCCUUCAGAGGGGGACAACAGUUGGAAACGACUGCUAAUACCGCAUACGAUCUAAUCUCGGCAUCGAGGAUAGAUGAAAGGUGGCCUCUACAUGUAAGCUAUCACUGAAGGAGGGGAUUGCGUCUGAUUAGCUAGUUGGAGGGGUAACGGCCCACCAAGGCGAUGAUCAGUAGCCGGUCUGAGAGGAUGAACGGCCACAUUGGGACUGAGACAAGGCCCAGACUCCUACGGGAGGCAGCAGUGGGGAAUCUUCCGCAAUGGACGAAAGUCUGACGGAGCAACGCCGCGUGAGUGAUGACGGCCUUCGGGUUGUAAAGCUCUGUUAAUCGGGACGAAAGGCCUUCUUGCGAAUAGUGAGAAGGAUUGACGGUACCGGAAUAGAAAGCCACGGCUAACUACGUG